GAUGAACGCUGGCGGCGUGCCUAAUACAUGCAAGUCGAGCGACCGGACGAGAAGCUUGCUCCUCUGAUGUUAGCGGCGGACGGGUGAGUAACACGUGGAUAACCUACCUAUAAGACUUGGAUAACUUCGUGAAACCGGAGCUACUACCGGCUCAUAUUUUGUACCGCAUGGUUCAAAAGUUAAACACGCUCUUGCUGUCACUUUUAGAUGGAUCCGCGCUGGAUUAUCUAGUUGGUAAGGUAACGGCUUACCAAGGCAACGAUGCAUAGCCGACCUGAGAGGGUGAUCGGCCAAACUGGAACUGAGACACGGUCCAGACUCCUAAGGGAGGCAGCAGGAGGGAAUAUUCCGCAAUGGGCGAAAGCCUGAAGGAGCAAAGCCGCGUGAGUGAAGAAGGGCUUCGGGUUGUAAAAACCUUUUAUUGGGGAAGAAAAGAAGGAGAAGAAAACUGGGAAGUUCUGACGGUACCCAAUCAGAAAGCCACGGCUAACUGCGUG
rnacentral:rRNA from 1 species